CUACGGGUCGCACCAGUGGGGAAUAUUGGACAAUGGGGGAAACCCUGAUCCAGCAAUGCCGCGUGUGUGAAGAAGGCCUGCGGGUUGUAAAGCACUUUCGGUUGGGAGGACUGCUUCUAGCACUAAUAUUGUUGGAAGUUGACGUUACCUCCAGAAGAAGCACCGGCUAACUCCGUGCCAGCAGCCGCGGUAAUACGGAGGGUGCAAGCGCUAAUCGGGAUUACUGGGCGUAAAGCGCGCGUAGGCGGCUAGAUCAGUCGGGUGUGAAAGCCCCGGGCUUAACCUGGGAACUGCAUCCGAUACUGUCUAGCUUGAGUACAGGAGAGGAGAGUGGAAUUCCACAUGUAGCGGUGAAAUGCGUAGAUAUGUGGAGGAACACCAAUGGCGAAGGCAGCUCUCUGGCCUGAUACUGACGCUGAGGUGCGAAAGCGUGGGGAGCAAACAGGAUUAGAUACCCGCGUAGUC
rnacentral:rRNA from 1 species